CAGAUACAAAGGGCCUGACCUUGGCCACGGAGGUCCCAAUUGUGCAGUCAUGGAACUACAGAACUGCUGGGGCUGGGUGGGUCCUGUGGAGAUGGAGCACACUCAGCAUCUUGCCCCAUCCUGAAGCCUGUCAGGAACACAAGUGCAUAGUGAAGUCUCAGGGCUGGAGUUAACAGGACCCAAAUGACCCUUCUAAGAAAGGCCCUCACCUCCUCGAAGAACUGUUGCUGUAACCUCUCGCUUUGUGGUCAGUGUGUAUGAGGUUCCUUCCACUGAGACCACAGCAGCAAGGCAUCUGGUGAAGGGAUAGAGAAGCUCAGCAAGCUUCUUCCAUUCUGCCAGCCACAACAGAGGCAGAACCUGUUC
rnacentral:lncRNA from 1 species